rnacentral:rRNA from 1 species
UCAGAUGCGAAAGCGUGGGUAGCAAACAGGAUUAGAUACCCUGGUAGUCCACGCCGUAAACGCUGUCUACUUGGAGGUUGAGGUUUUAGACUUUGGCUUUCGGCGCUAACGCAUUAAGUAGACCGCCUGGGGAGUACGGCCGCAAGGUUAAAACUCAAAUGAAUUGACGGGGGCCCGCACAAGCGGUGGAGCAUGUGGUUUAAUUCGAUGCAACGCGAAGAACCUUACCUACUCUUGACAUCCAGCGAAGCCUUUAGAGAUAGAGGUGUGCCUUCGGGAGCGCUGAGACAGGUGCUGCAUGGCUGUCGUCAACUCGUGUUGUGAAAUGUUGGGUUAAGUCCCGCAACGAGCGCGACCCUUAUCCUUGUUUGCCAGCACAUAAUGGUGGGAACUCCAGGGAGACUGCCGGUGAUAAACCGGAGGAAGGUGGGGACGACGUCAAGUCAUCAUGGCCCUUACGAGUAGGGCUACACACGUGCUACAAUGGCAGAUACAGAGGGCAGCGAGACAGCGAUGUUUAGCGAAUCCCUUAAAGUUUGUCGUAGUCCGGAUUGGAGUCUGCAACUCGACUCCAUGAAGUCGGAAUCGCUAGUAAUCGUGGAUCAGAAUGCCACGGUGAAUACGUUCCCGGGCCUUGUACACACCGCCC